UUAGAUUGUCGGUGAGGUAACGGCUCACCAAGUCUUCGAUGGAUAGGGGUUCUGAGAGGAAGGUCCCCCACAUUGGAACUGAGACACGGUCCAAACUCCUACGGGAGGCAGCAGUGAGGAAUAUUGGUCAAUGGACGAGAGUCUGAACCAGCCAAGUAGCGUGAAGGAUGAAGGCCCUAUGGGUCGUAAACUUCUUUUAUAGGGGAAUAAAGUGCGGAACGUGUUCCGCUUUGUAUGUACCCUACGAAUAAGGAUCGGCUAACUCCGUGCCAGCAGCCGCGGUAAUACGGAGGAUCCGAGCGUUAUCCGGAUUUAUUGGGUUUAAAGGGAGCGUAGGUGGACGUAUAAGUCAGUUGUGAAAGUUUGCGGCUCAACCGUAAAAUUGCAGUUGAUACUGUAUGUCUUGAGUGUACAAGAGGUGGGCGGAAUUCGUGGUGUAGCGGUGAAAUGCUUAGAUAUCACGAAGAACUCCGAUUG
rnacentral:rRNA from 1 species